rnacentral:rRNA from 1 species
CGGACGGGUGAGUAAUGCCUAGGAAUCUGCCUGGUAGUGGGGGACAACGUUUCGAAAGGAACGCUAAUACCGCAUACGUCCUACGGGAGAAAGCAGGGGACCUUCGGGCCUUGCGCUAUCAGAUGAGCCUAGGUCGGAUUAGCUAGUUGGUGAGGUAAUGGCUCACCAAGGCGACGAUCCGUAACUGGUCUGAGAGGAUGAUCAGUCACACUGGAACUGAGACACGGUCCAGACUCCACGGGAGGCAGCAGU